GACGAACGCUGGCGGCGUGCUUAACACAUGCAAGUCGAACGGAAAGGCCCUGCAUAUGUGGGGUGCUCGAGUGGCGAACGGGUGAGUAACACGUGAGUAACCUGCCCUUGACUUUGGGAUAACUUCAGGAAACUGGGGCUAAUACCGGAUAGGAGCUCCUGCUGCAUGGUGGGGGUUGGAAAGUUUCGGCGGUUGGGGAUGGACUCGCGGCUUAUCAGCUUGUUGGUGGGGUAGUGGCUUACCAAGGCUUUGACGGGUAGCCUGCCUGAGAGGGUGACCUGCCACAUUGGGACUGAGAUACGGCCCAGACUCCUACGGGAGGCAGCAGUGGGGAAUAUUGCACAAUGGGCGGAAGCCUGAUGCAGCAACGCCGCGUGCGGGAUGACGGCCUUCGGGUUGUAUACCGCUUUCGCCUGUGACGAAGCGUGAGUGACGGUAAUGUGUAAAGAAGCACCGGCUAACUACGUG
rnacentral:rRNA from 1 species